AUGGGUGAGUAACCCUGGGCAAUCUGCCCUGCACUCUGGGACAAGCCCUGGCUACGGGGUCUAAUACCGGAUACAACCACUGACCGCAUGGUCGGGUGGUGGAAAGCUCCGGCGGUGCAGGAUGUGCCCGCGGCCUAUCAGCUUGUUGGUGAGGUAAUGGCUCACCAAAGCAACAACGGGUAGCCGGCCUGAGAGGGCGACCGGCCACUCUGGGACUGAGACACGGCCCAGACUCCUACAGGAGGCACCCAUGGGGAAUAUUGCACUGUGGGCGAAAGCCUGAUGCACCGACGCCUCGUGAGGUAUGACGGCCUUCAGGUUGUAGACCUCUUUCACCAAGGAAGAACCGAAAGUGACCGUGCCUGCAGAAGAAGCGCCAGCUAACUACCUGCCAGCAGCCGCGGUAAUAGGUAGGGCGCAAGCGUUGUCCGGAAUUAUUGGGCGUAAAGAGCUCGUAGGCGGCUUGUCACGUCGGUUGUGAAAGCCCGGCGCUUAACCCCUGGUCUGCAGUCGAUACGGGCUCGCUAGUGUUCGGUGGAAUAGAUCGGAAUUCCUGGUAUAGCGGUGAAAUGCGCAGA
rnacentral:rRNA from 1 species